rnacentral:rRNA from 1 species
GACGAACGCUGGCGGCGUGCCUAAUACAUGCAAGUCGAGCGAAGUUUUUCUGGUGCUUUCACUAGAAAAACUUAGCGGCGAACGGGUGAGUAACACGUAAAGAACCUGCCUCAUAGACUGGGACAACUAUUGGAAACGAUAGCUAAUACCGGAUAACAGUAUUUCUCGCAUGAGAGAUAUUUAAAAGUUGGUUAUGCUAACACUAUGAGAUGGCUUUGCGGUGCAUUAGCUAGUUGGUGGGGUAAAGGCCCACCAAGGCGACGAUGCAUAGCCGACCUGAGAGGGUGAUCGGCCACACUGGGACUGAGACACGGCCCAGACUCCUACGGGAGGCAGCAGUAGGGAAUCUUCCGCAAUGGGCGAAAGCCUGACGGAGCAACGCCGCGUGAGUGAAGAAGGAUUUCGGUUCGUAAAGCUCUGUUGUUAGGGAAGAAUGGAUAUGUAGUAACUAUACAUGUAAGAGACGGUACCUAACCAGAAAGCCACGGCUAACUACGUG